CUAAAGACUGAAAGUGAAGUAUUCAAGACUGAAAGUGAAGAAUUCAAGACUGAAAGUGAAGAAUUUAAGCCUGAAAGUGAAGAAUCCCAGACUGAAAGUGAAGAAUCCCAGAUUGAAAGUGAUGAAUACCAAUGUGAUCAUGUCUGGCAUUGUCUUUCAAAUGUGCUGACCUUGAAAACCAUACAAAGACACGUUCAUAUGAUGGUAUUUCACAAUCCUCUAUUUUGAAAAUGAUGAAUAAGACACCUAAUGAAGAUAAACUGUUAUUUUGAAGAUAAUUGCCUUUCAAAGACCAUACAUCCAGAUCGUGAUGUUGGUGCUGAAACCUCAAGCCAGGGUUCGUCUCAGCAUGAUAUAGUUGCUGUGGGGAGCCCAGAGGGAUCCGGCACCAAUGAUGAGAUGCCUUUGCAGGAUUUGGAGAUUGAUGUAACAUGUGAGACGGAGGAG